GGGCAAUUCACCUUUUCUUUAAAUACUCAUGUCACAUUUGUGCUGUUGCCAAUGCUUCUCAGACCCUCCAGAUGAGGACAUUUCCCUGAGGAGGUGGCUAUGAUGGUAGAACUUACAAGACUUCAGUGGACAUAAGUACAAGUAUCACACAAAGACAUUCUGGAGAAUGGCAGAAAAGUGAGCGAAGCCAGAAAAACAACACUUCAAAAGGUCUGUGGAGGAAACAAUGCCAAGAAUACGUUAAUCUAAACCCAUGAUGUUUCUACAUCUCAAAGAACAGAGAGAAAAGGAAACUGGAGAGAGGCCAGAAGUGACCAACUCUAUUCCCUCAUUUCUGUGUUAUACUCCCUUUGUCUAAUCUUCCCUACCCUACCAGGUGGUUUAAGAAUUUUAUCCUUUCUCCAGACUAGAAGAGGAAGUGGGGGCCGGAAUUAGGUGUAUACAAAUUGUUGGAAAGCCUUUGUGUGGAUUUGGAGGGCUGAAGUAGAGUAUCAUUUUUACAAAGCAGCCCAAGCCUCUAAUCUGAGCAGGAAGAUUCACACUCAUUCUCUGGCAUGAGUCCUAUCAGGAGGAUCAAUGAAGCCAAGGCUGUAGAAAUAAAUAAUUAAUCUCUCCACCCAAGGAGGCUAGUAAACAAUAUUCAAUACGUGAAUACUGAGUUCUGCCAAGAGGAAGAAGCAUAUAAACCAGGCAACUGCUGAACGCAUUGCCAAAAAGGGAGACUUACGCAUCAUUCACUAAAGCUUUCCAAAAACUAAAUCAGAUCCAAGAACAGAUAAACUCCUGCAGAAUGACAAUGGUGGAGAAAUUGACCUCCCAGCAUUGCAGACUUACAUCAGUUGUUCUGAUGUUCUUAGUUAUAUCAGAUUCCUUCCAGAAUCUUCUAAAUAUAUCAGACGGUCAGACACAACCCCAGGCCCUAAUAAAAAACCCUGAUGCU
rnacentral:lncRNA from 1 species